CUUCGCCGUGUGUGGCGAGAAACCCCGAAUGCAGUCGUUGGCAACGGGUUAUGGCUGUAUGAAGCAGAGAGGAUGCGUUGCGGACGCGGGUUCGAUUCCCGCCAGCUCCACCACAUGUGCACCAGCCUUGGUGCCCAGCUGAAGGGGCUGCACUGGUUUCGACGUGGCGAGCAGUCAAUGUGGACAGCCCGAGAGGCGACCGACGUAAUCGGCGCAAAAACUGUAAUCGCCAAUGCUGAUUACUACGAUCAGAACGAACAGGACACCCUGCUCGCAGCCUGAUUCA
rnacentral:tmRNA from 2 species